AUGUCGUUGUCGUCCUCGUCUCAUCCGACGUGCGGGGAGGAACGUCCAGUGGACAACCUUGCUGCGGCUCGGGAUGAAGCAGCCACGAGCUUCCUCCUCCUCCGGCUUCAGAGGACGACCACAUACUGGACUGAGUCCCAAUGUGUUGAGGCUGGGAAGGUCGGCAUGGCCUCCAACCAUGGCAAUACACCUACUAUGUUGCUGCCUUGCAAGCAGUAG
rnacentral:rRNA from 1 species